rnacentral:rRNA from 1 species
AGUGAACGCUGGCGGCAGGCCUAACACAUGCAAGUCGGACGGCAGCUCGUGUUUCCCGUGCCCGUCGGGGGAGUGACGCGCAAGCAGGUGCGCUAUGCAGCGGAACCACCGCUUUAAAGGGCGGCAACUACGGCGUAGUCAGAGUAGUAACGCGUGUAACCUACCGGAGGAGGGGCUCGCGUUUGAUUCGCUAGUUGGUGAGGCAAUAGCUUACCAAGGCGGUGAUUUGUCGCUGGUCCGAGAGGAUGAUCAGCCACACUGGGACUGAGACACGGCCCAGACUACUACGGGAGGCAGCAGUGGGGAAUUUUCCGCAAUGGGCGAAAGCCUGACGGAGCAAUGCCGCGUGGAGGUAGAAGGCCUACGGGUCGUGAACUUCUUUUCCCGGAGAAGAAGCAAUGACGGUAUCUGGAGAAUAAGCAUCGGCUAACUCUGUG